rnacentral:tRNA from 1 species
CGUCGCGGUCGUCUUCCGGGAGGACGCUCGACUUUCGAUCGAGUGAGUGGGGUUCGACUCCCCACCGCGACGU